AUACGUAGGUGACAAGCGUUAUCCGGAUUUACUGGGCGUAAAGGGCGUGUAGGCGGUCUUGCAAGUCAGAAGUGAAAUUCCUGAGCUCAACUCGGGCGCUGCUUCUGAAACUGCAGGACUUGAGUGCUGGAGGGGAUAGCGGAAUUCCUAGUGGAGCGGUAAAAUGCGCAGAUAUUAGGAAGAACACCGGUGGCGAAGGCGGCUAUCUGGACAGUAACUGACGCUGAGGCGCGAAAGCGUGGGGAGCAAACAGGAUUAGAUCCCCUGGUAGUCCACGCCGUAAACGAUGAAUACUAGGUGUAGGGGGUAUCGACUCCCUCUGUGCCGCAGUUAACACAAUAAGUAUUCCGCCGGGGGAGUACGGCCGCAAGGUUGAAACUCAAAUGAAUUGACGGGG
rnacentral:rRNA from 1 species